CGACCCGGUGGGCCGGGUCGCGGCACGGCACGACGUAAAGGCGUAAAGCCCGGGGAAAUCCCCUUCCCCACCCCACCGGCCUCCCCAGCGGCCUCCGCACCGCCCCGCCACUCACACGGGUGACAUAUGCCAACUCGAUUGGUUUUGAGGUGGGUUGGACGGCAUAUGCUCGCCGCGACCGGUGCACACCUGCACGACCGCACACAUGCUUCGGCCCUCGCCAGGACUGGCAUCCCGAACGAGGGCCUAACCACCAAGGAACAACCCUUCCCG
rfam:Streptomyces albulus strain NK660, complete genome.